CACAGACGAGGAAACAAAGGCCCAAAGAAGAGUUCCGCCCGGGACGGAACGUGGCAUAGCUCGCAACAGAACCCAGUCUCCGGAGAUCCCUCUCCUCUGCACCACUUGGACGUUCCACGGAGAGGCAGCGGUGCGCGGGGCGACGGGGAGCUGCCAGAGAAGUCAGUGGUGGGCAUGAGUGGGUGAGACGGGCCCACUGAGGUUUCUGGCAGUGGGGAGCCAUGGAAAGUUUCUGAACAGAGAAGCACUUAUUGGGAACUGUCAGAGCUAUGCUUCAGGAGAUGAAUCUGGCAACAACGUUAAUAUUAAUGCCCUGUACAUCCUGAGUACAUGUUUCCAGAAAGAGGUGAUCCAGGAGGCUGCCAAGUGGCCUG
rnacentral:lncRNA from 1 species